rnacentral:rRNA from 1 species
GAGUUUGAUCCUGGCUCAGAACGAACGCUGGCGGCGCGCUUAACACAUGCAAGUCGAGCGGUCCGGGGCAACUCGGGCAGCGGCGAACGGGUGAGUAACACGUGGGUAAUCUGCCCUCGAGACAGGGAUAACCCGGGGAAACUCGGGCUAAUACCAGAUAAGCUUCCGGAGAGGCAUCUCUCUGGGGGAAAAGGGGCAACCCACUCGAGGAUGAGCCCGCGGCCCAUCAGCUAGUUGGCGGGGUAAAGGCCCACCAAGGCGACGACGGGUAGCUGGUCUGAGAGGACGACCAGUCACACUGGAACUGAGACACGGUCCAGACUCCUAUGGGAGGCAGCAGUGGGGAAUCUUGCGCAAUGGGCGAAAGCCUGACGCAGCGACGCCGCGUGUGCGAUGAAGGUCUUCGGGUCGUAAAGCACUGUCGCGAGGGAAGAAACCUGACGGUACCUCGAGAGGAAGCACCGGCUAACUCUGUGCCAGCCGCCGCAGUAAU